rnacentral:rRNA from 1 species
GACCGAUAGCGCAUAGUACCGUGAGGGAAAGGUGAAAAGAACCCCGGGAGGGGAGUGAAAUAGAACCUGAAACCGUAUGUCUACAAGCAGUCGAAGCACCUUAAGAGUGCGACGGCGUGCCUAUUGAAGAAUGAACCGGCGAGUUACAUUAUGUUGCGAGGUUAAGUGGGAGACACGGAGCCGAAGCGAAAGCGAGUCUUAAUAGGGCGACUAGUAACAUGGUGUAGACCCGAAACCGCAGUGAUCUAUCCAUGGUCAGGUUGAAGCGCAGGUAAAAAUGCGUGGAGGACCGAACCCGUGAGUGUUGAAAAACUUUGGGAUGAACCGUGGAUAGGGGUGAAAUGCCAAUCGAACGCGGAGAUAGCUGGUACUCCCCGAAAUAGCUUUAGGGCUAGCCUCAGGGAAGAUUAUAGACGGUAGAGCACUGAUCUGGCAAGGGGGCGUAAAGCCUACCGACCCUAGUCAAACUUCGAAUGGCUAUAAUUAAGACCCUGGGAGUCAGACUGCGAGUGAUAAGACCCGUAGUCAAGAGGGAAACAGCCCAGACCGCCGACUAAGGUCCCCAAUGCUGUACUAAGUGGAAAAGGAUGUAAGACUUCAUAAACAACCAGGAUGUUGGCUUAGAAGCAGCCACCAUUAAAAGAGUGCGUAAUAGCUCACUGGUCGAGAGGCCUUGCGCCGAAGAUGUCCGGGGCUCAAGUACAGAACCGAAGUCGCGGCAGGAUUAUAUAAUUCUGGGUAGGGGAGCGUUGUAUAUCCGACUGAAGGUGUACCGGAAGGAGCGCUGGAGGAUAUACAAGAGAGAAUGCCGGUAUGAGUAGCGAAAAGAACAGUGAGAAUCUGUUCCACCGAAAGCCUAAGGUUUCCUGAGCAACGCUCGUCGACUCAGGGUAAGUCGGGACCUAAGCCGAGGCAAAAAGCAUAGGCGAUGGACAACAGGUUAAUAUUCCUGUACCGCUUCAAAUCGUUUGAGCAAUGGAGUGACACAGAAGGUAGCUUGAGCACGCGAAUGGAUGUGCGUGUCGAAGGUGGUAGGUUGCAGUAUAGGUAAAUCCGUACUGUAUAAGACCGAGAACUGAUAGAUAGACGAUACUUCGGUAAAGUCAAAUUCAAGUGAGCCAUGCUGUCGAGAAAAGCUUCUAGUGAGAGAUGAGGCGCCCGUACCGAAACCGACACAGGUAGGCGGGGAGAGAAUCCUAAGGUGCGCGGGACAACCCUCGUUAAGGAACUCGGCAAAUUGUAUCCGUAACUUAGGGAUAAGGAUAGCCGGAGGAUGUGAAGGGAUUUACUUCUGGAGCGUCAGCCGGUGGCACAAGAGAGGCCCAAGCGACUGUUUAGCACAAACACAGGUGCCUGCAAAAGAGAAAUCUGACGUAUAGGUGCUGACACCUGCCCGGUGCUGGAAGGUUAAGAGGAGGGCUUAGAGGAAACUCGAAGGCUUGAAUUGAAGCCCCAGUAAACGGCGGCCGUAACUAUAACGGUCCUAAGGUAGCGAAAUUCCUUGUCGGGUAAGUUCCGACCCGCACGAAAGGUGUAACGACUUGGGCACUGUCUCAACGAGGGACCCGGUGAAAUUGAAGUACCUGUGAAGAUGCAGGUUACCCGCGACUGGACAGAAAGACCCCAUGGAGCUUUACUGCAACCUGACAUUGAUGUUCGGUAAAUAACGUACAGGAUAGGUGGGAGACGGAGAAGUAUUGGCGUUAGCUGAUAUGGAGUCAACCUUGGGAUACCACCCUUUAUUUAUUGGACCUCUAACUGAAGAAGUAACGACUCUCAGGACAGUAUCAGGCGGGCAGUUUGACUGGGGCGGUCGCCUCCCAAAAUGUAACGGAGGCGCCCAAAGGUUCCCUCAGCGCGAACGGAAACCGCGCAAAGAGUGUAAAGGCAGAAGGGAGCUUGACUGCGAGUCAGACACGACGAGCAGGUACGAAAGUAGGGCUUAGUGAUCCGGUGGUUCCGAGUGGAAGGGCCAUCGCUCAACGGAUAAAAGCUACCCUGGGGAUAACAGGCUAAUCUCUCCCA